rnacentral:rRNA from 1 species
GUGGGGAAUAUUGGACAAUGGGCGAAAGCCUGAUCCAGCCAUGCCGCGUGUGUGAAGAAGGUCUUCGGAUUGUAAAGCACUUUAAGUUGGGAGGAAGGGCAGUAAGUUAAUACCUUGCUGUUUUGACGUUACCGACAGAAUAAGCACCGGCUAACUUCGUGCCAGCAGCCGCGGUAAUACGAAGGGUGCAAGCGUUAAUCGGAAUUACUGGGCGUAAAGCGCGCGUAGGUGGUUUUGUAAGUUGGAGGUGAAAUCCCCGGGCUCAACCUGGGAACUGCCUCCAAAACUGCAUGACUAGAGUACGGUAGAGGGUAGUGGAAUUUUCUGUGUAGCGGUGAAAUGCGUAGAUAUAGGAAGGAACACCAGUGGCGAAGGCGACUACCUGGACUGAUACUGACACUGAGGUGCGAAAGCGUGGGGAGCAAACAGGAUUAGAUACCCCGGUAGUCC